GAUGAACGCUGGCGGCGUGCUUAACACAUGCAAGUCGAACGAUGAAGCCCAGCUUGCUGGGUGGAUUAGUGGCGAACGGGUGAGUAACACGUGAGUAACCUGCCCUUAACUCUGGGAUAAGCCUGGGAAACUGGGUCUAAUACCGGAUAGGAGCGUCCACCGCAUGGUGGGUGUUGGAAAGAUUUAUCGGUUUUGGAUGGACUCGCGGCCUAUCAGCUUGUUGGUGAGGUAAUGGCUCACCAAGGCGACGACGGGUAGCCGGCCUGAGAGGGUGACCGGCCACCCGGGGACUGAGCCACGGCCCAAACUCCUCCGGGGGGCAGCAGGGGGGAAUAUUGCACAAGGGGCGCAAGCCUGAUGCAGGGGCCCCGGGUGGGGGAUGACGGCCUUCGGGUUUUAAACCUUUUUCAGUAGGGAAGAAGCGAAAGGGACGGUACCGGCAGAAGAAGCACCGGCUAACUACUU
rnacentral:rRNA from 1 species